rnacentral:misc_RNA from 1 species
GUCACCUUACAGCCAUAUCAUACAAAACCCUAGAAGGAGUUCUAGAAGUUCAUAGGUGAAAGAGAGAGACAAAGGAUUACUUGUCAAGAAACGUUGAUUUUAUUAUCUUUGUGGUUUUUAGAAAAAUCUUGAAUAUCUUUCAUGACUGGGAUGAGGGAUGCAACCAAGGAGAGUUCUUGUUCAGGGAGUAGUAGCAACAGUAACAAGAACUUGCGGAGGAGACGCAAUGGUCGUGAAGCGCUGGAGGAUACGCUUGAUAGCUGGAAGAAGCGAAGUAAACAUGGUGAAAUUCGUAAGCCUCCAUCCAAGGGCUCUCGAAAAGGUUGUAUGCCAGGAAAAGGCGGACCAGAGAACCAGACUUGCAAAUACAGAGGUGUUAGACAGAGAAUCUGGGGCAAAUGGGUUGCAGAAAUUCGAGAACCCGCUGGAAAGACCAGCCUUUUGAAUGCUGCACCAGGGCAUAGACAUUGGUUGGGUACAUUUUCAACUGCCAUUGAAGCAGCUAGAGCUUAUGACAAUGCAGCAAGGGCUAUGUAUGGUUCUAAUGCCAUCCUCAAUUUCCCUGACUACCAUUCGGAAACUGAGUCUACAACAACGUUGAAUAGUUGUGAGGAUGACCAUAUUGAGAAAUCAAAAACCCAUUGCUCUGGAGUUGGUGGAUUGAAAGAACUAAAUGAAAAAUUAGGCUCUGGUGGGAUUUUUGUUGCUAAGAAAUUGAAUGAGAAGCUUAACAAACCAGAGGUGACAGAAAGCAUUUCAAGAGAGUUGAAAGAUGAUGAAUGUAUUUCAAGAACUGAUUGCAGAUCUUCUCAUGAUCUUGUUAAAGCUAAACCAAUCAUGCUGGUGAAAAAAAUGAAAGAGGAAUUUGCAGAAGCUACGGAAUGCCCUGGACAUCAUGGCAUCAAUGACAAAUUUGACUUUUCGCAGAGUGAGACCAAAAAUGUUAAAGCUGAAUGCACUGAUUAUGAGUGUUCAAACGAAAUUGCAGUCCAGAUCCCCGCAGUGGAAGAAGUAGAAGAAGAGCUUGGGAGAAGUAUGGAAUCAAAUCAAUAUGAUGGGUUCAACAAUAUGCACAUGCCUUUCAAUAAGGACUGUGAUUUGAGAACUGAUUGUAAACCCUUUAAUGACGUUGAGAAGCAGAUGAUGAGGAAAGUAAUGGAGGGAGAAUUUACAGGGAUUAAUUCUGGUUACUGUAAUCACUUCGAGGUUAGACAAGAUAAUAUGAGCAUUGAUUUCAUAGAUAUGAACUGCUAUGCAAAAAUUGAUAUCAAGCCUUCUAUGCACAUAGGUGGCAUUGAGAACUCUGCACUGCAAGGAGAGAGGAAUGCCCAUGAUCACUUUGAAUUGGACUCUACAAAUUACCAGCACAGUAAUCCUUCUUCUCAAUUGCUGAACCCAAAAGCCGAUCCACGAGGCAGCACGAAGCAUGCAGAAGAAGCAAAUGGAAACAUGGAUUGCAUAUGGGAUUUUGACUGGGGUGCAAUGGAAGAGCUAGAAUGGAUUGAGUCAUGGGAUUCUGGAUUCUAGACUUCUAGUCUAGAGGCUUGAUAGAAGCAGUAGAAAUAUUAGUAAUAUCGGACCAUGACCAUUUUUUUUUCUCCAAAUUUUGAUGAGAUCUGUGCUUAGUUACUCAUUCUCAUAUUAUUUGUGGAUUCUUCAUUAAUCUUUGGCAAACAACUUCUUGUAUUGGUCUUUAUGCACUUUUUUCUUUAAUUACCAAUAAUAUUCAAUUACCAUUUUAAUAUAACACGGUUGUAUGCAUUUAUGUGGG